UUUCCCCUUUGUGUUUGUUCCCUAAUUUCUUGGAAAGCCAGUGAAUUUUCUUGGGAAAUUUGGGAAACUUUCUAUUACAACCAACACCCCAACGUAUCUGUAGAAAUUUGGGAAAUCAUUUUUUUUCUUCAAAAAAAUUAGAAAAAUGGAAUUUUUUUGAAACAAAAAUUAGAAAAAAAUUCUUUGAUUAAUGUUUUCUUUUUUUAAACUAUUAGUUCUUGGG
rnacentral:misc_RNA from 1 species